GCUCCUCCGAGCUCGCUGUUCGUCCGGGUUUUUUACGUUUUAAUUUCCAGGACUUGAAGUGCCAUGUCCUCUGAAGAAGGAAAGCUCUUCGUGGGAGGGCUCAACUUUAACACCGACGAGCAGGCACUGGAAGACCACUUCAGCAGUUUCGGACCUAUCUCUGAGGUCUCUGGAUGGUCGUCAGAUCCGUGUGGAUCAUGCAGGCAAGUCUGCUCGGGGAACCAGAGGAGGUGGCUUUGGGGCCCAUGGGCGUGGUCGCAGCUACUCUAGAGGUGGUGGGGACCAGGGCUAUGGGAGUGGCAGGUAUUAUGACAGUCGACCUGGAGGGUAUGGAUAUGGAUAUGGACGUUCCAGAGACUAUAAUGGCAGAAACCAGGGUGGUUAUGACCGCUACUCAGGAGGAAAUUACAGAGACAAUUAUGACAACUGAAAUGAGACAUGCACAUAAUAUAGAUACACAAGGAAUAAUUUCUGAUCCAGGAUCGUCCUUCCAAAUGGCUGUAUUUAUAAAGGUUUUUGGAGUCGCACUGAAGCAUCUUAUUUUAUAGUAUAUCAACCUUUUGUUUUUAAAUUGACCUGCCAAGGUAGCUGAAGACCUUUUAGACAGUUCCAUCUUUUUUUUUUAAUUUUUUCUGCCUAUUUAAAGACAAAUUAUGGGACGUUUGUAGAACCUGAGUAUUUUUCUUUUUACCAGUUUUUUAGUUUGAGCUCUUAGGUUUAUUGG
rnacentral:sRNA from 1 species